UGAGGGUUGGUAUUGAUUCUCUUGUGAGAGCAGAGAGCAUUCGUGCCACAUUUCAGACCAAAAUCAAUGGUGUACUACACACACACAAUAAAAAACCUCGAACAGAUGAACAUUCGUUAUUUCACAUUUAUAGAAAAAUUUACUGCUCUGUUUGGCGAUUAAAACCUCAAUUAAAUGUUCAAAACACGACAUCGCGGCAGCUAAGUAAAUUUUGCUCAAUGGCGCAGGCAAGUAAAAUUUGUCAAUGAUAAACAAUCCUAUAUGAAAUACAGUAAAAAUGACAUUAAACAAAUCACAUUUUGGACGCUAUAAGAAAUACGAGUAAAAAAUGAUUUUUACGAAAUUACUCAUUCUCGCGGUAACAUUGUAACAUUCGGGUCCAUCGUGCUUUCACAAUAAAAGGAUAAAUGUCCUCAAAAUUUACUCGUUCGAUGUGCAUUUUCAUUUUCAUUAUCGAAUUAUUAUCAAAGUACCAAGUUCACAGCUUAACUCGGAAAGAAUAUGAUAUAUUCGAAGGUGGUACGAUUGCGAAAUUAACAAAGGAACAGGCUAAGUCGAUAUGUUAUCAAUUAGCUUCAAAACUAGAAUUUGAAAGUAGCAGUAUCGCAGCUUCGAUGCAGCAUUGCUAUGUGGAUUUAGGAAAAGAAACUUUCGAUAAAUUUUAUGAAGCAGUUUGGAUUUGCAUCUUGAAUUGUGAUCAGUUCGCUUUUGGCAGAGGGCAGUCAAAAUAUGGUUAUUUUCAUUGGAAGCUUGCAAAAGACUACGAUGAAUGGUAUUGCACUCCUGAAAAAAAUAUGUCUGGUCCGUUUAAUUGUUAAUAUGUACAUAGUUGGAUAAUACAUAUUUACUAAUUUAA